rnacentral:lncRNA from 1 species
CUCUCAAGCACAAGUAUCCAUGAUCAGGAUCUGUCCCACCCGUUAGCGACCAUAGCUAUGGCUGAGUCGCAGGAGUCUAAUGUAUUGAGCAUUCUUAACUUUAACUGUCAAGAACUAGAUGGGUAGCUGGUUGUAGAGGGGUUCUGUUCUGUGAUGUCAGCCAAUGGAGCUGGGGGUCUACUCAAUUCCUCCUGGCAACAGAGGUCAAGGAUGGAAGUGAUGGCUCUCCUUCAGUCCUCCAUGCCUUUGACCCUGGAUCUGAACGAUGCCUGUUUCCACUCACACACUUCUGGUACUGAGCUCUCGGGCAGGGCUGAUUCAGGCUAGAAACUUUCAGAGUCCUGAACCAGGCCUUACAGAGCUCAGAGAGAUGGCCAGCCUUCUCCCCUGCUCCGUGGAGACUGCCACCCAGGCUUGAGGAAUCACUGUACGCUAACCAAAGGGAAAACCUGG